GUAGGUGGCAAGCGUUGUCCGGGAAUUAUUGGGGCGUAAAGCGCGCGCAGGCGGUCCUUUAAGGUCUGAUGUGAAAGCCCACGGGCUCAACCGUGGAGGGUCAUUGGAAACUGGGGGACUUGAGUACAGAAGAGGAAAGUGGAAUUCCACGUGUAGCGGUGAAAUGCGUAGAGAUGUGGAGGAACACCAGUGGCGAAGGCGACUUUCUGGUCUGUAACUGACGCUGAGGCGCGAAAGCGUGGGGAGCAAACAGGAUUAGAUACCCUGGUAGUCCACGCCGUAAACGAUGAGUGCUAAGUGUUAGAGGGUUUCCGCCCUUUAGUGCUGCAGCUAACGCAUUAAGCACUCCGCCUGGGGAGUACGGCCGCAAAGGCUG
rnacentral:rRNA from 1 species